ACUCAUGUUUUUAUUUGCUAAGAGUCUUAUUCGAAAUAGGAGAAUCUAAAUCAGAUCUGAUUCAAACACUGAAUCAAAAUGGUGAGUUAAUUGGUUGAAGAAUUGCGAGGGAAUUGCUAGACGCAAUCGCACUUCCCUCGCAAAUUUUAUCCUAAACCCUAAAUUAUUAAAAAUCAUAAAUUGCGAGGGACUUGCUAGGAGUUCUGGCAAUUCCCUCGCAAUAUGUGGUGCGUUUUAAUUGGUUUAAAAAUCUUCCUCGCAAUUUCAAAGCAAACUGUGCGAGGGUUUUGCAAGAAAAUAGAUUUCUAUAUAUAUUCGAAGACCUAGUUUGAGCGGAGCUCAAACCAGCCGCAUCCCUAACCCUAAAUUUUUUCUUCUUCUUCUCUGAUCUCUUCGGCGCCGGAGCUCUUCUUCUCCGAUCUGAUUCCGUCGCCGCCUCUCUUCUUCUUCUUCUCUAAUCUGUUAUACUCAUCGCCGCCUCUCUUCUUCUCCGAUCUAAUUACGGCGCAGAGUCUCUUCGCCGCCUCUCUUCUUCUUCGAUCUGUGCUCGAGAACCGCCACGUCUCCUCUUCUCCGACUCGAUCGGUUUUGCCUCAUAGGUAACCUCUGUUUCUCCAAUCUAAGUUCUUCUCUCAAAUCCGACUUAUUCUUCUUCUCCGAUCUUACUCUUUUUCCCAGAUCUAACUCUUCUUCUUCUUCUCUAAUCUGUUAUACUCAUCGCCGCCUCUCUUCUUCUCCGAUCUAAUUACGGCGCAGACUCUCUUCGCCGCCUCUCUUCUUCUUCGAUCUGUGCUCCAGAACCGCCGCGGCUCUUCUUCUCUGACUCGAUCUGUUUUGCCUCAAAGAUAACCUCUGUUUCUCCGAUCUAAGUUCUUCUCUCAAAUCUGACAUAUUCUUCUUCUCCGAUCUUACUUUUUUUUUCCCAGAUCUAACACUUGAUUUGUUUUUUGUGCAAGAUGCCGUCAGAUAAUACUUAUGUCCGGUUUAGACAACAGCAGCGUGACCCGUUGCAUGUCAAUUCUCCGCUUAGUGGUGGAAAUAUCUCAGGGGUUCAAGGUUCAGGUUCAGGUUCAGGUUCAACCGUUCAACCAUCGCCUCCAACGCCAACGACUCAGCCUUCUGUCAAUCAUUCUGAUGUUCAAGCUGACCGUCUCAACAAUCUGACACUAAAAGAGCUCCUCGAUAGUCCUGGUCGUGCUGGCUUGACAAGGCUAGACCCAAAGCGUCCUCCGGGAACUCUAUGGUAAGGUUAAGCUUAUAGUCUCUGGAAUUAGGUCUUGUAAGUUGGUUAGUUUUGCCUUAGAAGUUUGAUUCUGCCUUAGAAGUCUCUGGAUUUAGGUUGGUUCUGCCUUAGAAGUUUGGUCCUGCCUUAGAAGUCUCUGGAUUUAGGUUGGUUGUACUUAGCAUUGUAGUUUCUUAGAAGUAUAAAGACAUAGAGAUCCUUAUGUGUUUUGUUGCUGUUGUUGUAGGUUUGACGAUGACUCUAUAGUUGCAGCAACAGUCCGCAGCAUAUUUGAAAGAGAUUUCAAAGAACCUCAUGCCAAUUGGUCACAGACAUCAAAGGCUACAAUCGAUCGAUGGUAUGAAACGUUUGCGGUAAAAUUUGUGCUCUUUUGAUGUUUAUGCUUGUUUUGUUUGCUUUGUCUGUUUUGUUUGCUUUGCUUUGUCUGUUUUGUAGUCUGAUGUUUGAUGUUUGCUUUGUCUGUUUUGUAGCAAGUAUAUAACUGGGACCGUUCAAUUAACAAAAGAGUAAGGGUUGAGUUUGAAGCAAAGCUAAAGUCUAGGAUGUCUGAUCAAGUGUCAAGGUGGAAGGGAAAUUGGAAGGAGAAAGGUGAUGAAGCCAAGCCAAAAUGGAUUGAUCCUGAUGUGUGGAAAGGUCUAGUACAGUUUUGGCAAGAUCCAAAGUCAGAGAAAAAAAGUAACAACAGCAGAAAUGCUAGAUAUCAUGAUCCGGAUGGCAAAGGCAUCUAUAAACACCGUUCAGGCCAGACCUCUUACAAAGCUCGUGCAAGAAAACGGGUUAGAUAAGUAUUCUUCUCUCCUUACCAUUACUUAAACUACAAUGUUAUGAAUCUAACUUGUUUAUCUCUUUGUGUUUCAGUGUGAGAAGACUGGAGAAACAACUCCUGAUUUCCUAGAGCUGCUAGAUGAGACACACAGAAAAGCGGAUGGAACUUUCAUCGAUGGGAAGUCAGAGGAAAUUUACAAGCAAGUGACAUCUAGGAUAGAAGAGGAAGAGUCUCAUAUGUGCUCAGUGGACAAUCCGGAGAGCACUGGAUCAGGUGGAUUGUCUGUUCAUGCCAAAAACAAGAUUUUUACUGAGGUAAAUCUUCUGUGCUUUUUCUUUGCAGCUUGUUGUGUUGUGUACUUGUCUGAAUUUUGUUGUGUACUUGUCUGAAUUAUGUUGUGUACUUGGCA
rnacentral:sRNA from 1 species